UGAGGAAUCUUGCGCAAUGGGGGCAACCCUGACGCAGCAACGCCGCGUGAGUGAGGAAGGCCUUCGGGUCGUAAAGCUCUGUCGGGUGGAAAGAAACGUAUAGAUGUUAACAGCAUUUAUACUUGACGGUACCGCCAAAGGAAGCACCGGCUAACUCCGUGCCAGCAGCCGCGGUAAUACGGGGGGUGCAAGCGUUGUUCGGAAUCACUGGGCGUAAAGCGCGUGUAGGCGGCCCGAUUAGUCGAGUGUGAAAGCCCGGGGCUCAACCUCGGAAGCGCAUUCGAAACUGUCGGGCUUGAGUACGGGAGAGGGAAGUGGAAUUCCUCGUGUAGCGGUGAAAUGCGUAGAGAUGAGGAGGAACACCAGUGGCGAAGGCGGCCACCUGGACAGUAACUGACGCUGAGGCGCGAAAGUGUGGGUAGCAAACAGG
rnacentral:rRNA from 1 species